GGGAUAGGGCCUCGCUGCCUUGCCCGUCUGGCGCCAUAUUCACCCAUGUCUUUUUGCGUACUACUUGUUUCCUUGGCGGGUCCGCCCGCCAAUUGGACCUUAUUCAAACCUUUUUUUCAGUUGCAAUCAGCGUCAGCAAAACAAAUGUAAUCAAUUACAACUUUCAACAACGGAUCUCUUGGUUCUGGCAUCGAUGAAGAACGCAGCGAAAUGCGAUAAGUAGUGUGAAUUGCAGAAUUCAGUGAAUCAUCGAAUCUUUGAACGCACAUUGCGCCCUUUGGUAUUCCAAAGGGCAUGCCUGUUCGAGCGUCAUUUGUACCCUCAAGCUUUGCUUGGUGUUGGGCGUCUUGUCUCUCUCCCGAGACUCGCCUUAAAAUCAUUGGCAGCCGGCCUACUGGUUUCGGAGCGCAGCACAUUAUUUGCGCUCUUGUCCAGCCGCGGUCGCGCGUCCAUGAAGCUUCUUUCAACCUUUUGACCUCGGAUCAGGUAGGGAUACCCG
rnacentral:rRNA from 1 species